GAUGAACGCUGGCGGCGUGCCUAAUACAUGCAAGUCGAGCGAACAGACGAGGAGCUUGCUCCUCUGACGUUAGCGGCGGACGGGUGAGUAACACGUGGAUAACCUACCUAUAAGACUGGGAUAACUUCGGGAAACCGGAGCUAAUACCGGAUAAUAUAUUGAACCGCAUGGUUCAAUAGUGAAAGACGGUUUUGCUGUCACUUAUAGAUGGAUCCGCGCCGCAUUAGCUAGUUGGUAAGGUAACGGCUUACCAAGGCGACGAUGCGUAGCCGACCUGAGAGGGUGAUCGGACACACUGGAACUGAGACACGGUCCAGACUCCUACGGGAGGAAGCAGUAGGGAAUCUUCCGAAAUGGGCGAAAGCCUGACGGAGCAACGCCGCGUGAGUGAUGAAGGUCUUCGGAUCGUAAAACUCUGUUAUUAGGGAAGAACAAAUGUGUAAGUAACUAUGCACGUCUUGACGGUACCUAAUCAGAAAGCCACAGCUAACUACGUG
rnacentral:rRNA from 1 species